ensembl:lncRNA
AUUUUAUCUAAACAGAUCUUAGCAGUUAAGAACUCAUUUGUCUGGCACAGGGGGGGGGGCCCAGAUCCAGACUUCACCCCAGCUGAGGAAAUGGCCCUUGAUUUGAACCAAGGAAGGCCUGUGAUGGAAGGGAUUCAGGGUGGGACAGCUACAGGCUCUGUUCCACCGGCAGAAACUGCCCUCUUCAUACAAGGUACAUUUUCCAGUACUGCACAUCAAACACAAUCAACCAUUUAUGGGCAUAUGUGGACUGUCUGACCUUGUUGUGUCUUGCAGUGUCCGGCGACACAGUCACUCUCCUGCCAUCCGACGAUGAUCCAGGGGGAAGGGGCUUUUGCAGCAUGGGAAGGGGCUGUUGCAGCUGAUGAUGAGGAGACUGUGUCACUGGACUCCAAAAGGCCUGAGACAGGCAAUAUUGUGUUGGACCGUGCAGGCUACAGUAAUGUCACAGGCCCUGUCUGGGGUGACCCUCAGGUGGUGGAGACACUGAAAUCGUGACUUGAGAAGGCCAAAUACCAUCUCAAUUCGGGCCCUUGUUCUUGCAUGGGCAAGAUUGUAUCCUUGCUGUGCUGCUGUCUGAGGGUCUGCAAGGGGAGUGAGAAGGUAUGUCUCACAGGCAUAACGCCAGAGAAUUC